UCUUGCACAAGCAUCCAACAACUCUCCUUUAAGGAGUGAAAUGCAAGCAAUAAGUUCUAAGAGUCUCGUACAAAACAACAGUUUAUGGAACAUGAUCCAUAACUUCAUACAAUUUGCUUAAGGCUCUGAAAGAGGUGCAGGGUUCUAUGCAUUUUUUGGAGCUUAAAAGGCUUCCAACAAAUCUUUUUCAUGGAUAUAUCAUGGAUUGGUUUCGGAGGAAGAGCUUUCCGUAUAAGUAACUUAUGAAACUAUAUUGGCAGAGAAGAGAUAUAAUCCUUUAACUGGCCUUGAAAGUAAAUGAAUUCCCAAAAUUUGGUUGCUUCCAUCUGCUGCAGUUCACCUUUGUCCCAAUACAGUUGAAGGUAUCAUUUUCCAGAGUUUAGGUGGCAAAUGGAAUUUCUCAUGUGAAACUUCCAAGAACUUGUUUUGAGCCAUUGGCUCUUCCCAGCUUUAGUGGGAUCUGCUCCCCAAUGACAUUGCAUGCUUGAAUUAUA